rnacentral:RNase_P_RNA from 1 species
CCGCUGGAUCGGGUGAUCGCUGCCGUCCCGUUUACGCUGGUUCUGCCAGGCCGCACGGAAGCGGGAGAGGAAAGUCCGAACUCCGCAGAGCAGUGUGCCGGAUAACGUCCGGGCGGUUGCCGUCAAGGGCAACUGACGGAAAGUGCCACAGAGAAUAUACCGCCUCGUUUCGACGAGGUAAGGGUGAAAAGGUGCGGUAAGAGCGCACCGCCCGGGCAGUAAUGUCCGGGGCAUGGCAAACCCCACACGGAGCAAGACCAAAUAGGGAGGAAGCGCCUUCGGGUGCACGCGCCGGCUCGGCACGUCAAACCUUCGGGUAGGUCGCUGGAGCCAGCCAGUAAUGGCUGGCCAAGAGGAAUGAUCGCCCCACGGCGCAAGCCGCGGACAGAAUUCGGCUUAUAGAUCCGGCUGCUAU